rnacentral:rRNA from 1 species
AUUGAACGCUGGCGGCAUGCUUUACACAUGCAAGUCGAACGGUAACAGGCCUUCGGGCGCUGACGAGUGGCGAACGGGUGAGUAAUGCAUCGGAACGUGCCCAGUCGUGGGGGAUAACUAUCCGAAAGGAUAGCUAAUACCGCAUACGAUCUGCGGAUGAAAGCGGGGGACCUUCGGACCUUGCGCUAAUAGAUGAGCCUAAGUCGGAUUAGCUAGUUGGUGGGGUAAAGGCCGACCAAGGCGACGAUCUGUAGCGGGUCUGAGAGGAUGAUCCGCCACACUGGGGCGGAGACACGGCCCAGGCUCCUACGGGAGGCAGCAGUGGGGAAUAUUGAACAAUGGGGGGAACCCUGAUCCAGCCAUGCCGCGUGUGUGAAGAAGGCCUUAUGGUUGUAAAGCACUUUAAGCGAGGCGGAGGAUACUGAGACUAAUACUCUUGGAUAGUGGACGUUACUCGCAGAAUAAGCACCGGCUAACUCUGUGCCAGCCGCCGCCGUAAAAC